rnacentral:rRNA from 1 species
GACGAACGCUGGCGGCGUGCUUAACACAUGCAAGUCGAACGGAAAGGCCCUGCUUUUGUGGGGUGCUCGAGUGGCGAACGGGUGAGUAACACGUGAGUAACCUGCCCUUGACUUUGGGAUAACUUCAGGAAACUGGGGCUAAUACCGGAUAGGAGCUCCUGCUGCAUGGUGGGGGUUGGAAAGUUUCGGCGGUUGGGGAUGGACUCGCGGCUUAUCAGCUUGUUAGUGGGGUAGUGGCUUACCAAGGCUUUGACGGGUAGCCGGCCUGAGAGGGUGACCGGCCACAUUGGGACUGAGAUACGGCCCAGACUCCUACGGGAGGCAGCAGUGGGGAAUAUUGCACAAUGGGCGGAAGCCUGAUGCAGCAACGCCGCGUGCGGGAUGACGGCCUUCGGGUUGUAAACCGCUUUCGCCUGUGACGAAGCGUGAGUGACGGUAAUGGGUAAGGAAGCACCGGCUAACUACGUG